GAUGAACGCUGGCGGCGUGCCUAAUACAUGCAAGUCGAGCGAACAGACGCGGCUCUUGCUCCUCUGACGUUAGCGGCAGACGGGUGAGUAACACGUGGAUAACCUACCUAUAAGACUGGGAUAACUUCGGGAACCGGAGCUAAUACCGGAUAAUAUAUUGAACCGCAUGGUUCAAUAGUGAAAGACGGUUUUGCUGUCACUUAUACAUGGAUUCGCGCCGCAUUAGCUAGUUUGUAAGCUAACCGCUUACCAAGGCAACGAUGCGUAGCCGACGUGAGAGGGUGGUCGCCGACCUGGGAACUGGAACGCGGACAAUGGUACUGAGAGAGGCAGCAGUAGGGUACCUGCGGCAGUAGGCGAGAGCCUUGCGGAGUGAGGGCGCGUCAGAGAUGAAGGCCUUCCGAGCGUAAUAAUGUGUUAUUAGGGAAGAACCAAUGUGUAAGGAACUAAAGAGGUAUUGACGGUAACUAAUCAGAAAGCAACGGCUAACUACGUG
rnacentral:rRNA from 1 species